GUCAACGACCAUACCAUGUUGAACACACCGGUUCUCGUCCGAUCACCGAAGUUAAGCAACAUCGAGCAUGGCUAGUACUUAGGUGGGUGACCACUUGGGAAAACCAUGUGUCGUUGGCA
rnacentral:rRNA from 2 species